UGGGCUGGUCGAAAGACCCUGGUCCACCAACCGCGGGGAAUUUCCCC
rnacentral:sRNA from 1 species